GCCUCUUUAGCUCAGCUGGGAGAGCGUUAGACUGAAGAUCUAAAGGCCCUGUGUUCAAUCCACAGAAGGGGCA